UUUCAGAGCUUUAAGUUAGUAGUGUAUCAACCUGAUUGUUCUCAUUUUUGCCUGAUUAGCUAUGUUACUAAUGCUACACAAUCGUUUCAUGUCUAGGAAUAACGUGCGAAGAGCAAUCUCAUUUUGUUUUAUACAUUUCGGAAGCAAGAAAAAUACAAAGGUAUAGAGCAAACUUUGACCUCCUAUUUUUUAACAGUACUGGAAUCAAAUGAACUUAUAUAAGUUUUUUAACUAAAAGUUCUGAUUGCUAGGUAUUAGACUUAGAGAUGGUGUGUUCAUUUCUUAAUUUUGACACCAUGUUCUUUGCAGGUUGUUGGACUCAUUUUAGUGAUUUGUGAAGUGUGGUGUGACUGACUGGAGUCCAACACCAUGUUUUCAUCCUUUUGGCAUCAUAGGAGUAGUGUGCUAUUUCUAUUAGUGAUAUAGUGAUCUAUCCUAUUGUUGCAGUGUCUGGAAAUAGUGUUGCUACUGCUGUUGGUGAGCUGCUGCUAACUAGAACUUGCCAUGCUGCUGCUUUUGCUAUGACUGGAUGACCAAAACUUACGCUGCCAUGGUGCUGCUGUUGUUGUAGUGACUGAAGUAUGUCUACUUCUUUUAAUUUGAUGGAUGUAUGUUUGGUAUGGCUGGUAAUUGAUGGAUUUAAUGGAUGGAUGUAUGAACCAUUGUAUGGUUGUUGAUUUAUUGAACUAUUGUAUGGUUGUGUGAACCAUUAGUUGAAGAAAGUGAUCUACUGGCUACUGCUGUUGUGUUGAUUUAUGAUGAUUCUUUAUAUGGUCUUGGGUUGUAAUAUUAGAUGUAAACUGGGUUGUAGUAUUGAAUGCAAACUGGACUGGAAUGUUACUGGGCU
rnacentral:lncRNA from 1 species